GUAGGUGAACCUGCGGAAGGAUCAUUACCGAGUUUCUGCCCUCCGGGGUAAAUCUCCCACCCUGCGUACCCUACCCGUGUUGCUUUGGCGGGCCGACCGCCCUGGCCACCGGCAACUCGCUGGUGUGCGCCCGCCCGAGGCCCCCAAACCCUGUUUUUAAACGUGGUGUCCGAGUCCCAUACGAUAGUCAAAACUUUCAACAACGGAUCUCUUGGUUCUGGCAUCGAUGAAGAACGCAGCAUCUGACUGA
rnacentral:misc_RNA from 1 species